AUGGUGGUGUCGACGACGCCAUCUCCACAUCGGGACUGCCCUACUGAAAUCCUCGAUGGAGAUGUUGUCCCUCCACUGCCUCCCUCACAUGCUGAAGCUGUGGUUUCUCCGUCGCUUCCCUCCUUGAUUGGAGCUGCUGUUUCGUCACCUUCCGCUUCAGCAAGGGCUCCUGCAACCUUGCCGCGCCCUUUCCCAUCCUCCAAGAACAAAGGGCAUGCAUCCAAGAACAAAGGGCAUGUGUCAACUGAUGAAGUCGAUGCAGCUGCAACACUUUGUUCCCUUGUCCCAAUGACCCAAGAUCCUCACCAAGGUUACUCAGGAGAAAAGCAAAGACUCGCAAAGAAGAGGCUGAGGUCACCGUUACUGGUGCCCAUAGUGGGAUCCCCAGGGGUUAAUGUCGUGUUAUCUCAGGCAUCUCCAAUAUUAGGUGUGAAACGAUCAUCGCCAACACUGCCUCAGAUUCCUUGUCUUUCACAUAAAAGAAAAAGAAGGAAACUUAAAUCUGAAAUCUGGAAUGAUUAUGAUCCUGUGUAUGAUGGCAACAAAAUCAAGGAAGCACACUGUAAAUAUUGCAAGAGAGUUUUUAUUUGUACAAGAAUAGCUGGUACUAGUCAAUGCAUCAGGCAUUUGUUAGUUUGUGAGGAAAGAGCCAAGGUCAAUGAGUUUCUCGACUCGAUUAAAUCAGCCAUGCCACAACCUGAUCCAAACAGUGUAGAAAAAUGGAAAUAUGACCGCGACAGAGCACAUUGGGAGUUGAUGAGGAUGAUUGUCGUUCAUGAAUUGCCAUUCUCCAUAGUGGAAUAUGAUAGGUUUAGGCGAUUCGUGCAUAGUCUGAAUCCAACAUUUGAGGUGGUGUCUAGGACGACAAUAACACUUGAUUGCCUCCUUCUAUUUGAUGAACAAAGGACAAACCUUCGAGGGGCUAUGCAGAACUUAACCUCCCGUGUCUCUUUAACCGCCGACAUGUGGACUUCAAGUCAACUCAAGAGCCGUGGAUAA
rnacentral:rRNA from 1 species